AGUGAACGCUGGCGGUAGGCCUAACACAUGCAAGUCGAACGGCAGCACAGUAAGAGCUUGCUCUUACGGGUGGCGAGUGGCGGACGGGUGAGGAAUACAUCGGAAUCUACUUUUUCGUGGGGGAUAACGUAGGGAAACUUACGCUAAUACCGCAUACGACCUACGGGUGAAAGCAGGGGAUCUUCGGACCUUGCGCGAUUGACUGAGCCGAUGUCGGAUUAGCUAGUUGGCGGGGUAAAGGCCCACCAAGGCGGCGAUCCGUAGCUGGUCUGAGAGGAUGAUCAGCCACACUGGAACUGAGACACGGUCCAGACUCCUACGGGAGGCAGCAGUGGGGAAUAUUGGACAAUGGGCGCAAGCCUGAUCCAGCCAUACCGCGUGGGUGAAGAAGGCCUUCGGGUUGUAAAGCCCUUUUGUUGGGAAAGAAAAGCAGCAGGUUAAUACCCCGCUGUUCUGACGGUACCCAAAGAAUAAGCACCGGCUAACUUCGUG
rnacentral:rRNA from 1 species